CAUCAUGCCCCUUAUGAUUUGGGCUACACACGUGCUACAAUGGACAAUACAAAGGGCAGCGAAACCGUGAGGUCAAGCAAAUCCCAUAAAGUUGUUCUCAGUUCGGAUUGUAGUCUGCAACUCGACUACAUGAAGCUGGAAUCGCUAGUAAUCGUAGAUCAGCAUGCUACGGUGAAUACGUUCCCGGGUCUUGUACACACCGCCCGUCACACCACGAGAGUUUGUAACACCCGAAGCCGGUGGAGUAACCUUUUAGGAGCUAGCCGUCGAAGGUGGGACAAAUGAUUGGGGUGAAGUCGUAACAAGGUAGCCGUAUCGGAAGGUGCGGCUGGAUCACCUCCUUU
rnacentral:rRNA from 1 species